rnacentral:pre_miRNA from 9 species
UUUAUAUAGCGUAAAAGUGAACUCGAAGUUGUAUGAAGUUGGAACGUUUGCGUACGUUUACCACUAGGGGCGCUGUUUCAACUGCAUAAAAAUUUUAGUUAACUUUUACGCUAUCGA